CAGCCGCCGCGGUAAUACGUAGGUGGCAAGCGUUGUCUGGAUUUAUUGGGCGUAAAGCGAGCGCAGGCGGUUCCUUAAGUCUGAUGUGAAAGCCCCCGGCUCAACCGGGGAGGGUCAUUGGAAACUGGGGAACUUGAGUGCAGAAGAGGAGAGUGGAAUUCCAUGUGUAGCGGUGAAAUGCGUAGAUAUAUGGAGGAACACCAGUGGCGAAGGCGACUCUCUGGUCUGUAACUGACGCUGAGGCUCGAAAGCGUGGGUAGCAAACAGGAUUAGAGACCCGCGUAGUCCCUGUCUCUUAUAC
rnacentral:rRNA from 1 species